rnacentral:misc_RNA from 1 species
GAUGAAGAACGUAGCGAAAUGCGAUAAGUAAUGUGAAUUGCAGAAUUCAGUGAAUCAUCGAGUCUUUGAACGCACAUUGCGCCCCCUGGUAUUCCGGGGGGCAUGCCUGUCCGAGCGUCAUUGCUGCCCUCAAGCACGGCUUGUGUGUUGGGCCCCCGUCCCCGGUUUCCCCCGGGGACGGGCCCGAAAGGCAGCGGCGGCACCGCGUCCGGUCCUCGAGCGUAUGGGGCUUUGUUACCCGCUCUGUAGGCCCGGCCGGCGCCAGCCGACACCCAACUUUAUUUCUAAGGUUGACCUCGGAUCAGGUAGGGAUACCCGCUGAACUUAAGCAUAUCAAUAAGCGGAGGA